rnacentral:rRNA from 1 species
UACGGAGGGUGCGAGCGUUAAUCGGAAUUACUGGGCGUAAAGCGUGCGUAGGCGGUUCGUUAAGUCAGAUGUGAAAGCCCUGGGCUCAACCCGGGAACGGCAUUUGAAACUGGCGGACUAGAGUUUAGUAGAGGGGAGUGGAAUUUCAGGUGUAGCGGUGAAAUGCGUAGAUAUCUGAAGGAACACCAGUGGCGAAGGCGACUCCCUGGACUAGAACUGACGCUGAGAUACAAAGGCGUGGGUAGCAAAAAGGAUUAGAUACCCUGGUGGUCAACGCCGUAAACGAUGUCAACUAGCCGUGGGUCCUAUUUACAGGAUUAGGGGCGCAGCUAACGCAUUAAGUUGACCGCCUGGGGAGUACGGCCGCAAGGUUA